ACAGGAUGGCUGAUUAUAGGUGAUAGAUUGUAAAUCUAUUUAUGGGUAUAGACCCUCCUGUUAA
rnacentral:tRNA from 1 species